CAGUCGCCACGGUAAUACGAAGGGGGCUAGCGUUGCUCAGAAUCACUGGGCGUAAAGGGUGCGUAGGCGGGUCUUUAAGUCAGGGGUGAAAUCCUGGAGCUCAACUCCAGAACUGCCUUUGAUACUGAAGAUCUUGAGUUCGGGAGAGGUGAGUGGAACUGCGAGUGUAGAGGUGAAAUUCGUAGAUAUUCGCAAGAACACCAGUGGCGAAGGCGGCUCACUGGCCCGAUACUGACGCUGAGGCACGAAAGCGUGGGGAGCGAACAGGAUUAGAUACCCCCGUAGUCCCUGUCUCUUAUAC
rnacentral:rRNA from 1 species